CCUACGGGGGACUGCAGUGAGGAAUAUUGGUCAAUGGACGCAAGUCUGAACCAGCCAUGCCGCGUGCAGGAAGACGGCUCUAUGAGUUGUAAACUGCUUUUGUACGAGGGUAAACGCAGAUACGCGUAUCUGUCUGAAAGUAUCGUACGAAUAAGGAUCGGCUAACUCCGUGCCAGCAGCCGCGGUAAUACGGAGGAUUCAAGCGUUAUCCGGAUUUCUUGGGUUUAAAGGGUGCGUAGGCGGUCGGAUAAGUUAGAGGUGAAAUCCUGAGGCUCAACUGCGGAAUUGCAUCUGAUACUGGUCGGCUAGAGAGUAGUUGCGGUAGGCGGAAUGUAUGGUGUAGCGGUGAAAUGCUUAGAGAUCAUACAGAACACCGAUUGCGAAGGCAGCUUACCAAGCUACUUCUGACGUUGAGGCACGAAAGCGUGGGUAGCAAACAGGAUUAGAUACCCCUGUAGUC
rnacentral:rRNA from 1 species